CAGUCGCCGCGGUAAGACAGAGGAUGCAAGCGUUAUCCGGAAUGAUUGGGCGUAAAGCGUCUGUAGGUGGCUUUUCAAGUCCGCCGUCAAAUCCCAGGGCUCAACCCUGGACAGGCGGUGGAAACUACCAAGCUGGAGUAUGGUAGGGGCAGAGGGAAUUUCCGGUGGAGCGGUGAAAUGCAUUGAGAUCGGAAAGAACACCAACGGCGAAAGCACUCUGCUGGGCCGACAUUGACACUGAGAGACGAAAGGUAGGGGAGCAAAUGGGAUUAGAUACCCCUGUAGUCCCUGUCUCUUAUAC
rnacentral:rRNA from 1 species